GCUGGGCUGAGUGGUAUGCGCCUGUAGUCCUAGCUACUUGGGAGGUUGAGGCAGGAGGAUCACUUGAGCCCAGGAGUUCUGGGCUGUAGUGUCCUUUGCCAAUUAAGUAUCAGCAUCAAUAUGGUGGGUGACUUCAUCCGGGCACAGUGGCUCAUGCCUAUAAUCCCAGCAUUUUAGGAGGUCAAGGUGGGAGGAUCACUUGAGCCUCAGAGUUUGAGGCUGCAGUGAGCUAUGACCAUGCCCACUGCACUUCAGACUUCAGCCUGGGUGACAAAGACCCUGCCUCUUAAAAAACUGAAAGAAAAACAUGGUACCCUCCUGGGAGUGAAGGAACACCAGGUUGUUUAAAAAGGGGUAAACUGGCCCAGGAUGGAAACUAAGCAGGUCAAAACUGUGCUGAUUAAUAGUGGGAUUGAACCUUUGGAUAUCCACUGCACUCCAGCCUGGGCAACACAGUGAGAACUCAUGUCUA
ensembl:misc_RNA Metazoa_SRP Metazoan signal recognition particle RNA